UACGAAGGGUGCAAGCGUUACUCGGAAUUACUGGGCGUAAAGCGUGCGUAGGUGGUUGUUUAAGUCUGUUGUGAAAGCCCUGGGCUCAACCUGGGAAUUGCAGUGGAUACUGGGCGACUAGAGUGUGGUAGAGGGUAGUGGAAUUCCCGGUGUAGCAGUGAAAUGCGUAGAGAUCGGGAGGAACAUCCAUGGCGAAGGCAGCUACCUGGAUCAACACUGACACUGAGGCACGAAAGCGUGGGGAGCAAACAGG
rnacentral:rRNA from 1 species